rnacentral:miRNA from 1 species
GCAGCCUCUUUCCCUGGCAUCA